UGCCAGCCGCCGCGGUAAUACAGAGAGUGCAAACGUUGUUCGGAAUUACUGGGCUUAAAGAGCACGUAGGCGGCGUUGUAAGUGUGAGGUGAAAUCCCACGGCUCACCCGUGGAACUGCCUUGCAUACUGCAACGCUAGAGUGUGGUAGGGGAGAGCGGAACUCCUGGUGGAGCGGUGAAAUGCGUAGAUAUCAGGAGGAACACCGGUGGCGAAGGCGGCUCUCUGGUCCAUAACUGACGCCGAGGUGCGAAAGCUAGGGUAGCGAACGGGAUUAGAUA
rnacentral:rRNA from 1 species